rnacentral:sRNA from 1 species
GACUAUGGUAGCUGACUGUAACAUCUGGACUCCCACUGGUUGCUCAGAUUGAUUCAGCUGAUCUGGCUGGUGAGGUGGUGUCACCUUCCUCCCUCACUCCUCCAUUUGUGUUCCCCUUGGAACUACAUGCUUAAGAUGGCAGCCUUCUCUGAGUAGAAAGCGAAUGUUCUUCAGUCAGUUCUUCAGUAGCUUUUCUCCCCUGCUAGAACCUUCAAACAAACCUGCUAAUGGUAUUUUGUUGUUGUUAUUUUUGCUGUUGUUGAAA